AAAAUCAUCCUGUACUUUAACCUUUGAAGAGAUACAAAUGUGUAUUUUAGAUUGCCCAGAUAUCUCCUCAUUGCGUUGUUUACGGCAACACAUGGUGCCUUAUUCUGUCUGACUAACCUUCCUUACAGAGCCUGCCAAGCACAAAUUAGGUCAACCUAACCAGCAGUAUGAAACAUAAUUAGCCAAAACUUUCUUAAUUAGUGCUGUGAUUCAGGGUGGGGAGAGCUUAGCUCACAGGGAAUUGGGGUAGGGCAAGUUGGUAGAGAGACUCUUCCUAACGAGAGGUGGAUCUAACACUGGAUACCUGCCUAAUACCUUUGAAAUUUUGAUUGUGAUGUUUUAUGACCAUAGCAAAGACUGUAAUUUGUGCCUGUAGGGUGCUACAUGCUACACUAAUACGCUGCAAUAAAACAACAAACAACAAACUAAUAAUUCCCAUAGACAGCACCUCACUGUGACUAGAGUCAGCGAUUCUAGAUCUUCAGGCACACUGUCAGAUUCACAAAAAAGCCUAGACUACAUUUAUGUCAAAACAGUGGUGAUGCAUACCUACUAUUUUAAUAUUUUCUGCUGCUUUACUGCAUGCUGGACCCUCAGCCCGGGUGCUUGCCCUGUGCCAGGCUGCCUGUUAGUUCCCCACACCUGUGGGAUGAAGGAGCCCUAGGGCAGCAGCAGUACACUCCAGACGGGACCCUUUUGGUAAGAACUGCUUCUCUCUCAACUGAGGCCCCAGUGGUGCCUUGCAAUACCUGCACAGCAGACAUCAUAUUUGAUAUUGUCAUCUUUGCUGUCAGACAAGCCUAGGACUAAAGGGGUGACAUGAGGUUAGUUUGAUAUUGCAGAAGAGAGUUCAGAAGAACACUGUGCCCUGCCAAAGCAGUGUUUGGAUUGAGAGAAAGUUCCACUUUUUGCCGUUGCUCAAAUAUCUCUCACAUUCUCUCACCUCUUCCCUUCAGCGGGUAUAAAAGUGAUUGAUUUUCUCAAAAAGAAGAAGAAACAGUAGCCCAGUUUUUAAUUUCUGCUUCUCUGCUCAGUUUUUGUUAUCUUUACCAUCCAUCUCCCAUCUGAAGGGAAUACAGCCAUUUGCAUUUUUCCAUGGACAAAUACUGGCAUGUACUGACGCAGGAUAAGUUGCUGAUUAAGAACUCUGAUUAACACAUUGGUGAGAAUCUCCUGAGUUAAAGGAUUACAUACAAUAUUUGUGGGCAUAAACUAUAAUAAAAAUGUGCAAGAGCCAAUAUGGAAAAUUAUACAUAGGAAUAAUCCAUAAAAUGGUUUUUCAUUAAUAUAUUUAUAUAUUGUUACAUUAAUGAAGAAAUAAAAAUGUUAUUCAAGUUAAUUACCUAGACAGUAACUGAUGUGUACUUAAUAUAGUUUUGUAUAAUGUCUGCAUCAACAGCCAUUAGAUACUUGUCACAACAUGUAAAAGUGUGUGCAUGUUGUUACAUUGGCAUCAUUUGAAUUAACCAGUGACUCUGUGCAUGCAUUAGCAAGGAUGAAUAUGUGCAACUUGGAAUAAAAUAUUUCAAUAUGCAGAAGAAAAAGGGCUAAUUUUCGGAUUUCAUAGAAGUAUACUUCUGAAACAACUCACGUGCAUUGGGCAUCUUUCAGAGGGCCCUGUUCAGAUGGGAACUGAUCAACUCCUGGGCUUCCAGCAUUUGCACUCACCUUGGGAUUAAGCAGCAACGCGCAUGGAUAUGUCCUGCUGAAGUGUUUCCAGAUGAUCUAGUUCAUCAGGUCAAGGCAAUGCUGGCUCGCCACUCCAUGUCCCAACUGACUGGCCUCCAUGCAGCACGUCGUCCCCCAUGCUGUCAGCUGCGGGGAGCCCAGCAGCCUGACACACCUUGCCCCUGCUGCAGAGGCAGCAGACCAAGCCCUGCAACAGGCCUGCAUGCCAUUUCAUGCAACAAAGCAAAAUAAACACCAACGUGGCAUUUUCAGAAAAUCUGCUCUCCUUUAUGUCAGCAUGACAAUCCCCACUGACGUCAGCACACACAGGAUUAGGCCAGGGCUUACUGCUUUCAACACCUGUCCUUGCAGGUAGGGAACCAGAACAGCCCUGCAGGCCUGCAUUCAUUGGACACGUACACCAGCAUGGAGUCAGCAACACAGAAAUCAAGGUCUACUGCAAAACCCAUCAGAAUUCUUAUCUGCCCCCACCCCCAGCAUACGUGGCAGCCUUCAGUGCAUUGGAUGCUGCUGUGGCCAUGCUGCAAGCCAGCAUGUUUCAGUCCAGCUUAGGUAAGCCCCUGCAAAGUGUGGUUACGUCUACAGCAGCAGGGUGGGUAUGCCCUUACUGUGGUAGGAAACCUGAG
ensembl:lncRNA